AUUAUUCUCAGAUCUGAAGUCAGUACAUCAAGAAUGUACCAUUUACAUGAAUCUCCUAAGACCACAGCACCAAGUGAAAAUCCUUUAAAGGCUCAAACCAAAGAACCCAUAAAAAACAUCACAGAGACACCAAAUCUUAACCGCGAGCCCUCACUGUCCCAAAUCUACAAAGUUGCUUCAACAGGACACAAAACUAGACAAAAACCCCUUCGACACAAAGAUUUCACACAGAGGAGAAUCACCCAAGGAAUGAAUAUCACAGGGAUGAUCCUUCAACAUCUCACACAGAGAGAUCGAAG
rnacentral:lncRNA from 1 species